rnacentral:misc_RNA from 1 species
UGUUCAUCCGUCAAUAAUCCAGAUCCAUUUCUCUUUGAUCUGAGAAAAAAAUAGUAUAAUAAAAUGGAAGCUUUUUACUUUCUGGUGUUUGGAGCAUUGUCAGCUGUAGUAGCUGCAUUGGAGUUUAGCAAAACAAGCAAAGAUCGGAUUACUACCACACCCGCUUUCAAUUCUUUCAAGAACAAUUACAUCCUUGUCUAUUCACUCAUGAUGGCUGGUGAUUGGUUGCAGGGUCCUUAUGUCUACUACCUAUACACAACAUAUGGAUAUGGGAAGGGUGAUAUUGG